rnacentral:rRNA from 1 species
AUUGAACGCUGGCGGCAGGCCUAACACAUGCAAGUCGAGCGAGUGGCGGACGGGUGAGUAAUGUAUGAGAAUCUGCCAGAUGGAGGGGGAUAACUCGUGGAAACGGUGGCUAAUACCGCAUACACUCGGGUGACCCCAUAGGGGAUUAGCUUGUAGGUGGGGUAAAGGCUCACCUAGACGACGAUCCAUAUCUGGUCUGAGAGGAAGAGCAGCCACACUGGAACUGAGACACGGCCCAGACUCCUACGGGAGGCAGCAGUGGGGAAUCUUGCGCAAUGGGCGCAAGCCUGAUGCAGCAACGCCGCGUGAGUGAAGAAGGUCUUCGGGUCGUAAAGCACUUUUAGUGGGGAGGCGGUACCUGACGAGAAAGCCCCGGCUAACUCCGUGCCAGCAGCCGCGGUAAUUC